rnacentral:rRNA from 1 species
UACGGAGGGGGCUAGCGUUGUUCGGAAUUACUGGGCGUAAAGCGCACGUAGGCGGCUUUGUAAGUUAGAGGUGAAAGCCCGGGGCUCAACUCCGGAAUUGCCUUUAAGACUGCAUCGCUAGAAUUGUGGAGAGGUAAGUGGAAUUCCGAGUGUAGAGGUGAAAUUCGUAGAUAUUCGGAAGAACACCAGUGGCGAAGGCGACUUACUGGACACAUAUUGACGCUGAGGUGCGAAAGCGUGGGAGCA